rnacentral:rRNA from 1 species
CCAAUAGCGUAUAUUAAAGUUGUUGCAGUUAAAAAGCUCGUAGUUGAAUUUCGGGGUUAGUAGGCUGGUCAUGCCUCUGGUAUGUACUGGUCUCACUGAUUCCUCCUUCCUGAUGAACCGUAAUGCCAUUAAUUUGGUGUUGCGGGGAAUUUGGACUGUUACUUUGAAAAAAUUAGAGUGUUUAAAGCAAGCUAACGCUU